rnacentral:rRNA from 1 species
GAUGAAUGCUGGCGGCGUGCCUAAUACAUGCAAGUCGAGCGGCAGCGCGGGUAGUUUACUACCUGGCGGAGAGCGGCGGACGGCUGAGUAACGCGUGGGAACGUGCCCCAAAGUGAGGAAUAACUGCCCGAAAGGGUAGCUAAUGCCGCAUAUGCUCUUCGGCGUAACGCUUUAUGCGCUUUGGGAGCGGCCCGCGUCCGAUUAGAUCGUUGGUGAGGUAAUGGCUCACCAAGUCGACGAUCGGUAGCUGGUUUGAGAGGAUGAUCAGCCAGACUGGGACUGAGACACGGCCCAGACUCCUACGGGAGGCAGCAGUAAGGAAUCUUCCACAAUGGGGGCAACCCUGAUGGAGCAACGCCGCGUGCGGGAUGAAGGCCUUCGGGUCGUAAACUGCUUUUAUGAGUGAAGAAUAUGACGGUAACUCAUGAAUAAGCACCGGCUAACUACGUGCCAGCAGCCGCCGUAAUAC